rnacentral:rRNA from 1 species
GAUGAACGCUGGCGGCGUGCCUAAUACAUGCAAGUCGAGCGAACAGACCAGGAUCUUUCUCGUUUGACGUUAGCGGCCGACGGGUGAUUAACAUGUUUUUAACCUACCUAUAAGACUUGGAUAAUUUCGGGAAACCGGAUCUUAUACCGUAUAAUAUUUCGAACCGCAUUGUUCGAUAGUAAAAUUUGGCUUUUCUAUCACUUAUAGAUGGACCUGCGCCGUAUGAUCUAGUUGUUAAUGUCACGGCUUACCAAGGCAAGGAUUCGUAGCCGACAUGAGAGGGUGAUCGGCCAGCUUGGAUGUGAGACACGGCCCAGACUCUUGGGGGAGGACGCAGUCGGGACUCCUACGCAAUGGGGGAAAGACUGACGGAGCAAAGCCGAGUCAGUGCUGAAGAUCCACGGAUCGGAAAACGCUGUUAUUAGGGAAGAACAAACGUGCAAGUAACAGUGAACGUAUUGACGGUACCUAAUCAGAAAGCCACGGCUAACUACGUG